CGACGAGGAGCUGCCCCUCCCGCCCGGGGACGUGGGGGUCUCCCGGAGUUCGUCCGCCGAGCUGGACCGGAGCCGCCCCGCGGUUUCAGACAUGCAUCAUUCAUCAAAUAUUUUGAGUGCCUACUGGGUGCAGUGGAAAUGAAGGCUUUGGAGAAACAAUAGUGACCUGUAUUAGAUGGAUGCCUGUUCACCUGCCCUAUCCUCUUACAGCUUUAUAGCCUAAUGGAGGAAACAGUCAAACAAACGGUCCUAACAGACUGUAUAUAUGUGCUUGGAUGGGGAAAGUUGUGCAUUGAGGCAUGGAGCCAUGCCCUAGAUGUAGGGGCCAGGGAAGACUUAGAGAAAGUGGCAUCCAGUUCAAGACCUGAAGGGUGAAUAGCGCCAAAAGCCCUGAGGCUGGGUUCAAUGCACCAAAUUUGUGAACACCUCAAGUUUCUUUUUUUUUUUGAGACAGGGUCUUAUUCUGACACUCAGGCUGAGUGCAGUGGCAUGAUCACGGCUCACUGCUGCCUUGAACUCCUGGGCACAAGUGAUCCUCCCACCUUAGCCUCUUGAGUAGCUGGGACUACAGGUACAUGCCACUAUACCCAGCUAAUUUUUUAUUUUUUGUGGAGAUAGGGUCUCACUAUGUUGCCCAGGCUGGUCUUGAACUCCUGGACACAAGUGACCCUCCUGCCUCAGUCUCCCAACAUGCUGGGAUUACAGGCGUGAGCCACUGCACCCCAGCCAGUGAACAUCUAUUUUUUUCUGGAAAAUAUUCUGGUUAGUGAGUAAGAUAUGGUAAAGAUGGGUAGGUUUAGGUUUACAGUUCUAAUCCUCAAGAGAGAAAGAGUUUAUUUUGAUUUAUUUAUCUGAAAUGAAAACUUGAUAAGUUACAUACUUCAUACAUACUUACUUCAUACAUACUUCAAUUGUGCUAAAUAAAAAAGGUUAUAUAAUGAGUUCUCUUAUUUUUAGUUCUCCAUUUUUAGUUUCUGCAUUUUAAAGGACCAGUAAUAACCCUUAGGUGUGGUAAAGGCAAGGUCAUUCAGCAAGUGUUUAUUAAGUGCUUAUUAUGUUCCAGGAACAUAAUAAAUUCUGUAAGUUCUGGGGUUACAGCAGUGAAAUAAGUUCUCGUUUUGGAGUUUCUCUUGUCUUGGAGUUUCCUGGUUUCUUGGAGCACCCAAAAUAAAUACACAGUAGAGUAGGUGGUAAGUGCUAAAUAGAAAAGUAAAGUGGAGGUUAGAGAUUGGGUAAGGGUCUUGGGGGUCAUAAUGAUGUGGACUUAUUGUGA
rnacentral:lncRNA from 10 species